rnacentral:rRNA from 1 species
UACGUAGGGUGCAAGCGUUGUCCGGAAUUAUUGGGCGUAAUGAGCUCGUAGGCGGUCUGUCGCGUCGGAUGUGAAAACCCAGGGCUCAACCCUGGGCCUGCAUUCGAUACGGGCAGACUAGAGUUCGGUAGGGGAGACUGGAAUUCCUGGUGUAGCGGUGAAAUGCGCAGAUAUCAGGAGGAACACCGGUGGCGAAGGCGGGUCUCUGGGCCGAGACUGACGCUGAGGAGCGAAAGCGUGGGGAGCAAACAGG